rnacentral:rRNA from 1 species
AUAUUGCUCAAUGGGAGAAAUCCUGAAGCAGCAACGCCGCGUGGAGGAUGAAGGGUCUAUGACUUGUAAACUCCUGUAAAGAAGGAAAAAAUUCCCAUUUGAUGGGAGAUGAUGGUACUUCUGGAGUAAGCACCGGCUAACUACGUGCCAGCAGCCGCGGUAAUACGUAGGGGGCAAGCGUUGUCCGGAUUUACUGGGUGUAAAGGGUGCUCAGGCGGAUUUGUAAGUCAGAGGUGAAAUCUUACAGCUUAACUGUGAAAGUGCCUUUGAUACUGCAAGCCUAGAGUAUGGAAGAGAGUGAUGGAAUAUCUGGUGUAGCAGUGAAAUGCGUAGAUAUCAGAUAGAACACCAAUGGCGAAGGCAGUCACUUGGUCCAUUACUGACGCUAAAGCACGAAAGCGUGGGUAGCAAACA